GACCUCUUAGCUGCUACAGGCACUGGAGAAAAGAACUGCACCAUACAGGAGGUUUGCUCAGCAUUAACUCUAGGUAUUAGACUGUAGUCUUGCUUUGUGUUGGUCCGUCAUAACAGACAUACACCGCCCAGGUCCUUCAGAACAGACAUACACCACCCAGGUCCUUCAUAACAGACAUACACCACCCAGGUCCUUCAGAACAGACAUACACCGCCCAGGUCCGUCAUAACAGACAUACACCGCCCAGGUCCGUCAGAACAGACAUACACCGCCCAGGUCCGUUAGAACAAACAUACACCGCCCAGGUCCGUCAGAACAAACAUACACCGCCCAGGUCCGUCAUAACAGACACACAUUGCCCAGGUCCGUCAUAACAGACACACAUUGCCCAGGUCCUUCAGAACCGACAUACACCCCCCAGGUCUCCGGUGGUUCUGGUUCUAAGAGUAUAAAUCAUUUACUGGAGAUCAUUCAGUUGUGGGCAUUGUGUCAUUUAGUUAUGGGAGCAGCGUAGACAACCUGGCAGAUUGACAUCGCAGUGUGUUUCCUGAGCAGGCGGGAACAGUCGUCACGUACCAAGCAGGUUCAGUACCAUUAUGAACACUCCUUAAAGCCCCCACCUAAAGCCCUGACAGGUGGUUAAAAGAGUCCCCAAUUGUCCCUGGUUACUUAAGAUGUACUACAACACCAAGCCCGGACUGCAGUACCAGAUACGUGUUAUAGAAU
ensembl:lncRNA